rnacentral:rRNA from 1 species
GAAAAGAUACAAAAGCGCAUUAAUAGUGGAUGCCUUGAUGUGUAUUACCGAUGAAGGACGUAGUAGUCUGCGAUAAGCUUUGGGGAGCCGACAACGGGCUUUGAUCCAGAGAUUUCCGAAUGGGGAAACCCAAUGCGAGUUAUGUCGCAUUAUCACACUCUGAACACAUAGGAGUGGCGAAUGGGAACCAGCCGAACUGAAUCAUCUUAGUAGGUUGAGGAAAAGAGAAUAAACAAUGAUUCUCGGAGUAGUGGCGAGCGAAACGGGAGAAACCUAAACUUUUUGAGUUCUUAUAUUUAUAUAAGUAUGGCUUUACGGCCAAUGCUUGAAAGGGGUUGCGAAAUUACAUAAUUUUUAUGUUAAGCGUUUCAAUUUGGAAUGUUUAGCAUAAAAACCAACAGCGUAAACUGAGUGGAUAAAGUGCAUAGUUGUUAGCUGAAGGGCCUGGAAUGGCUCGCGAUACAGCGUGAAAGUCGUGUAAGCGAAAACAACUUUUGCAAUUAUAUAUGUUUUUUCAAGUAGGACGGGGCACGAGAAACCCUGUUUGAAUCCGGCAGGACCACCUGCCAAGGUUAAAUAUGAUACACAAUCGAUAGCGAAC